GUGGAUGCGGGUGCUAUACUGCAGUCGAGCGGACCGACGGGAGCUUGCUCCCUUACGUCACGGCGGACGGGUGAGUAACACGUGGGUAACCUGCCUGUAAGACUGGGAUAACUCCGGGAAACCGGGGCUAAUACCGGAUGCUUGAUUGAACCGUAUGGUUCAAUUAUAAAAGGUGGCUUUUACCUCCCACUUUUAAAGGGAGCCCCGGCGCAUUAUUUAUUUGUGGAGGUAACGGCUCACACGGCGACAAUGCGUAGCCAACAUGAGAGGGGGAUCGGCCCCACUGGGACUGAGACACGGCCCCCACUCCUCCGGGGGGCGGCAGUAGGGAGUCUUCUCCAAUGGGGGAAAAUCUGAGGAAGAACCGCCCCGUGAGUGAUGAAGGUUUUCGGAUCUUAAAACUCUGUUGUUAGGGAAAAAAAAGUACCGUUCAAAUAGGGCGGUACCUUGACGGGACCUAGCCAAAAAACCCCGGGUAAAUACGUGCCCCCACCCCCGGGAAAACCUAGGGGGGAAGCGUUUUCCGGAAUUUUUGGGGGUAAAGCGCGCGCAGGGGGUUUCUUAAAUCUGAUGUGAUAGCCCCCGGCUCAACCGCGAAGGGUCAUUGGAAACUGGGGAACUUGAGUGCAGAAAAGGAGAGUGGAAUUCCACGUGUAGCGGUGAAAUGCGUAGAGAUGUGGAGGAACACCAGUGGCGAAGGCGACUCUCUGGUCUGUAACUGACGCUGAGGCGCGAAAGCGUGGGGAGCGAACAGGAUUAGAUACCCUGUAGUCCACGCCGUAAACGAUGAGUGCUAAGUGUUAGAGGGUUUCCAUCCCUUUAGUGCUGCAGCUAACGCAUUAAGCACUCCGCCUGGGGGAGUACGGUCGCAAGACUGAAACUCAAAGGAAUUGACGGGGGACCCGCACAAGCGGUGGAGUAUGUGUUUAUUCGAGCAACGCGAAGACUUACAGUCUUGACAUCCUCUUGAACAUCCCUCAAAGAGAUAGACGUUCGCUCUUCGGGAAAAAAGUAGAACAGGUGGUGCAUGU
rnacentral:rRNA from 1 species